AAAAUAAUACCACUCAUCAAACUCAUUUUUGUGCCUUAGUGCAUUAAUCCUGAAAAUCAUUUUCUCAAAGGUAAAAUCAACCAACACACAAGCAUUUUCUACUCAGAACUAUAGAGCUCUGAUUCCUCAUCCCCGAAUGAGUGAUACAUAGGCACAAGGGCCCCAAUCCUUGGCAAGCACUAUAAUAACAAAAUACCUCAUCCUCUUUUACACACAUUUCUUUUUGAAAAUAAAACAAUGAUAGAUAAAUCCCCAUGUAUAUAAAAC
rnacentral:lncRNA from 1 species